rnacentral:rRNA from 1 species
AACCAUGCCCUUCGGGGCUCCUUGGUGAUUCAUAAUAACUUAACGAAUCGCAUGGCCUUGUGCCGGCGAUGGUUCAUUCAAAUUUCUGCCCUAUCAACUUUCGAUGGUAUGGUCUUGGCUUACCAUGGUUUCAACGGGUAACGGGGAAUUAGGGUUCUAUUCCGGAGAGGGAGCCUGAGAAACGGCUACCACAUCCAAGGAAGGCAGCAGGCGCGCAAAUUACCCAAUCCCGACACGGGGAGGUAGUGACAAUAAAUACUGAUACAGGGCCCUUUUGGGUCUUGUAAUUGGAAUGAGUACAAUUUAAAUCCCUUAACGAGGAACAAUUGGAGGGCAAGUCUGGUGCCAGCAGCCGCGGUAAUUCCAGCUCCAAUAGCGUAUAUUAAAGUUGUUGCAGUUAAAAAGCUCGUAGUUGAACCUUGGGCCUGGCUGGCCGGUCCGCCUCACCGCGUGCACUGGUCCGGUUGGGCCUUUCCUUCUGGGGAGCCGCAUGCCCUUCACUGGGUGUGUCGGGGAACCAGGACUUUUAC